UGGCGGACGGGUGAGUAAUGUCUGGGAAACUGCCUGAUGGAGGGGGAUAACUACUGGAAACGGUAGCCAAUACCGCAUAACGUCGCAAGACCAAAGAGGGGGACCUUCGGGCCUCUUGCCAUCGGAUGUGCCCAGAUGGGAUUAGCUAGUAGGUGGGGUAACGGCUCACCUAGGCGACGAUCCCUAGCUGGUCUGAGAGGAUGACCAGCCACACUGGAACUGAGACACGGUCCAG
rnacentral:rRNA from 1 species